rnacentral:rRNA from 1 species
UACGUAGGAGGCAAGCGUUGUCCGGAAUUAUUGGGCGUAAAGAGCUCGUAGGCGGUUUGUCGCGUCUGCUGUGAAAACUCGGGGCUUAACUCCGGGCCUGCAGUGGGUACGGGCAGACUAGAGUGCGGUAGGGGAGACUGGAAUUCCUGGCGUAGCGGUGAAAUGCGCAGAUAUCAGGAGGAACACCGGUGGCGAAGGCGGGUCUCUGGGCCGAUACUGACGCUGAGGAGCGAAAGCGUGGGGAGCGAACAGG